GAUGAACGCUGGCGGCGUGCCUAAUACAUGCAAGUCGAGCGAACGGAUUAAGAGCUUGCUCUUAUGAAGUUAGCGGCGGACGGGUGAGUAACACGUGGGUAACCUGCCCAUAAGACUGGGAUAACUCCGGGAAACCGGGGCUAAUACCGGAUAACAUUUUGAACCGCAUGGUUCGAAAUUGAAAGGCGGCUUCGGCUGUCACUUAUGGAUGGACCCGCGUCGCAUUAGCUAGUUGGUGAGGUAACGGCUCACCAAGGCAACGAUGCGUAGCCGGCCUGAGGGGGUGAUCGGCCCCACUGGGACUGGGACACGGCCCAGACUCCUACGGGAGGCAGCAGUAGGGAAUCUUCCGCAAUGGACGAAAGUCUGACGGAGCAACGCCGCGUGAGUGAUGAAGGCUUUCGGGUCGUAAAACUCUGUUGUUAGGGAAGAACAAGUGCUAGUUGAAUAAGCUGGCACCUUGACGGUACCUAACCAGAAAGCCACGGCUAACUACGUGCCAGCAGCCGCGGUAA
rnacentral:rRNA from 1 species